rnacentral:rRNA from 1 species
UAUUGGUCAAUAGCCUAACGGCUGAACCAGCANCUAGGAGGAAUGUAAAAUUAUUGUAAAAUGUAGUUUUCUAUGUCGUGAGUUUAUCUAGUUUAUCUAAAGAGAGUUAAGUAAAGUUCUAAGUAAAUAUUGAUAAUGACAAUAUUUAUUAUAUGUCUUGACCAAUUCAUGUGCCAGCAGUCGCGGUAACACAUGUAAGACUGGUGUUAUUCAUCUUUAAUAGGUUUAAAGGGUACCUAGACAGUUUAAUAAGCCUUUAAUGGUACUUAUUAAACUAGAGUUUAAUGUAAAAAGAAGAGUACGGUGAGUGAAGAGAUAAAAUUCAGUCAUACCACUUAGAAACUGGCAAAUGCGAAGGCAUCUUUUAUGUAAAAAUGACGUUGAGGGACGAAGGCUCGUUAUAAAUAACAGGAUUAGAUACCCUAGUAUUGUGUGCAGACAAUGAUGAAUGCCAUAUGUAAGAAACUUUGUUUUUUGUAUAUAAAUGAAAGUGUAAGCAUUCCACCUCAAGAGUAAUAUGGCAACAUAUAAACUGAAAUCAUUAGACCGUUUCUGAAACUCGUAGUGAAGUAUGUUGUUUAAUUUGAUAGCCCUCAAAAAACCUUACCACAAUUUGAAUAGCUAUAUAUAAUAAAUUUAUUAUAGUUACAAGCGUUGCACGGCUGUCUGCAGUUAAUGUCGUGAGACUUUGGUUAGAUCCAUUAAAUUAACGUAAGCCCUUGUUUUAUUUAAUAUAAAAUAGUUCGCCGCUAUAUUGGUAGUGAUAGAAGGGACCAAGACAAGUCAUCAUGGCCUGAAUAUUGUGGGCUAUAGAC